AUCUGUUCAACCAUCUCCACUUUCAACAUGCUGCAUCGAGAGCUGACUUUUAUUCCCUUAUUAAUGCUACUAUGCCAACAUGGUGCUGCUUUGCAACAAUUGCAAUACAUCAUAUGUGAAGGGACGAAAGCCCGUAUCACCUGUGAACCAGGUAUCAUUUCAGUGGUCUCAUCCAAUUAUGGUCGUACAAGCACGGAGGUAUGCAGAGGGUCGUUUUCUGAUUCUGCGCUCUCUAAUGUUAACUGCU